rnacentral:rRNA from 1 species
CACGUAGGGUGCGAGCGUUGUCCGGAAUUAUUGGGCGUAAAGAGCUCGUAGGCGGUGUGUCGCGUCGGCCGUGAAAACCUGCAGCUUAACUGUGGGCUUGCGGUCGAUACGGGCAUCACUGGAGUUCGGCAGGGGAGACUGGAAUUCCUGGUGAUAGCGGUGAAAUGCGCAGAUAUCAAGGAGGAACACCGGUGGCGAAGGCGGGUCUCUGGGCCGAUACUGA